rnacentral:rRNA from 1 species
UGGGGGAUAUUGCACAAUGGGCGAAAGCCUGAUGCAGCGACGCCGCGUGGGGGAUGAAGGCCUUCGGGUUGUAAACUUCUUUUGCUUUGAACAAGGCAUGCCUUUGGGGUGUGUUGAGUGUAGGGGUUGAUUAGCGCCGGCUAACUACGUGCCAGCAGCCGCGGUAAUACGUAGGGCGCGAGCGUUGUCCGGAAUUAUUGGGCGUAAAGGGCUUGUAGGUGGGUGGUUGCGUCUGUCGUGAAAGCUCAUGGCUUAACUGUGGGUUUGCGGUGGGUACGGGCUGGCUUGAGUGCAGUAGGGGAGGCUGGAAUUCCUGGUGUAGCGGUGGAAUGCGCAGAUAUCAGGAGGAAUACCGGUGGCGAAGGCGGGUCUCUGGGCUGUUACUGACGCUGAGGAGCGAAAGCGUGGGGAGCGAACAGG